CAGCAGCCCUGGUUCCAAAUGCUUAAUCUCCAGACUCAAGCUAAAUGCAUACAGCAGAGUUUACCAAAAUGGACGCUAAAUAAGAUAUAUUAGGUGAUUUCUCCAGUAUUAACACAGUACAUUCUGUACUGACAGAGACAGGACACUCCAUGUGGCCUCUGUAUACAGUCAAAAGACACAGUCCACACAAGUCUAUAAGGUUCUUGCAGGAUACCCUAUUACAAUGGAUUUUGCUCUUGUUAGAAGUAGGUGUAGAUUUCAGAGGUACAGUGAAUAUUUCUACUACACUGAAUAUUUCUGUCAUCAAAAUGAAACAAAGAUAAAUAGAGAAAUAUAUAAUUGUCUCCAUAAUUGUUUGGGUAGAUAAUACAUAGAUGACAGCUAAAUAACAUUCUAGGCCUGUAUGUGAAUAUGAAAUCCAUACAAUCCCUCUGGGUCAGCUUAUAUGACAUUUUCGGGACAUGUUUUCCACCAGCCCCUCCUGCUCUCUUUCUAACACAAAUCCCCUUCACACUCUUUCACCUACCUCCUCCAUGAAUGUUGUCCUUGCACAGUAAUAUCUUCGCUAUUUCUUUUUCCUGUGAGACCACAGCUGGGUGUGCAGCUGGCAGCCUCUCCAGAUUUCACAGCUGUCCUGGUGGAGAAAGCCCAAGAUUCUUACUGCCUCUGUGCCAACGGGAGGCACACCACGUCCUGGUUGGUGACUCCCAAGUCUUUAGGAAAUGUGACUUUCUCUGUGACUGGAGAGGCACUGCAGUCCCCAGAGCCCUGUGGUUCUGAGGUGGCCACAGUCCCUGACACCGGGAGAAAGGACACAGUUGUCAAAGUCCUGAUUGUUGAGCCUGAAGGAAUUCAGAAGGAGCACACCUUCAGUUCCCUGCUCUGUGCAUCAGAUUCUGAGCUAUCCAAAAAAUUGUCCCUGCUGCUCCCACCAACAGUAGUGAACGAUUCAGCC